GGGGAUUUAGCUCAGCGGCAUAAGCACCUGCCUUACAAGCAAGCGGUGGUGAGUUCAAUCCCCA
rfam:Cavia porcellus supercont2_10 genomic scaffold, whole genome shotgun sequence.